rnacentral:rRNA from 1 species
GUGGGGAAUCUUGCGCAAUGGGCGAAAGCCUGACGCAGCCAUGCCGCGUGAAUGAUGAAGGUCUUAGGAUUGUAAAAUUCUUUCACCGGGGACGAUAAUGACGGUACCCGGAGAAGAAGCCCCGGUUAACUUCGUGCCAGCAGCCGCGGUAAUACGAAGGGGGCUAGCGUUGCUCGGAAUUACUGGGCGUAAAGGGCGCGUAGGCGGACAGUUUAGUCAGAGGUGAAAGCCCAGGGCUCAACCUUGGAAUUGCCUUUGAUACUGGCUGUCUUGAGUACGGGAGAGGUGAGUGGAACUCCGAGUGUAGAGGUGAAAUUCGUAGAUAUUCGGAAGAACACCAGUGGCGAAGGCGACUCACUGGCCCGUUACUGACGCUGAGGCGCGAAAGCGUGGGGAGCAAACAGGAUUAGAUACCCCGGUAGUCC